GGAUGCGAUCAUACCAGCACUAAAGCACCGGAUCCCAUCAGAACUCCAAAGUUAAGUGUGCUUUGGCGAGAGUAGUACUAGGAUGGGUGACCUCCUGGGAAGUCCUCGUGUUGCAUUCC
rfam:Triticum aestivum genome assembly, contig: Triticum_aestivum_CS42_TGACv1_scaffold_053627_1BS